rnacentral:rRNA from 1 species
UCCUACGGGGGGCAGCAGUGGGGGAUAUUGCACAAUGGGGGAAACCCUGAUGCAGCGACGCCGCGUGUGGGAAGACGGUCCUCUGGAUUGUAAACCACUGUCCCCAGGGACGAAGAUGACGGUACCUGGGGAGGAAGCUCCGGCUAACUACGUGCCAGCAGCCGCGGUAAUACGGAGGGUGCGAGCGUUAAUCGGAAUUACUGGGCGUAAAGCGCUCGUAGGCGGUAUGUCAAGUCAAGGGUGAAAUCCCCGCGCUCAACGUGGGAACUGCCUUUGAAACUGGCAAACUGGAGUGUGUGAGAGGA